rnacentral:rRNA from 1 species
UGGGGAAUAUUGCGCAAUGGGCGAAAGCCUGACGCAGCCAGCCCGCGUGUGUGAUGAAGGCCUUCGGGUCGUAAAGCACUGUCGUAGGGGAAGAAUCAAUGACGGUACCCUACAAGAAAGCACCGGCUAACCCCGUGCCAGCAGCCGCGGUAAUACGGGGGGUGCAAGCGUUGCUCGGAAUCACUGGGCGUAAAGCGUCCGCAGGUGGGUGUGUGUGUCGGAUGUGAAAGCCCAGGGCUCAACCCUGGAACUGCAUUCGAAACUGCACAUCUUGAGUACGGGAGAGGGAAGCAGAAUUCCUGGUGUAGAGGUGAAAUUCGUAGAUAUCAGGAGGAAUACCUGUGGCGAAAGCGGCUUCCUGGUCCGAUACUGACACUCAUGGACGAGAGCGCGGGGAGCAAACA